ACAGGGGGAUGCUUACCAUGCAGUCGAGCGGCAGCAUGCCCUUCGGGGUGAUGGCGAGCGGCGGACGGGUGAGUAAUACAUAGGAAUCUGCCCUAGAGUGGGGGAUAGCCCGGGGAAACUCGGAUUAAUACCGCAUAAUCUCUACGGAGCAAAGUGGGGGAUCUUCGGACCUCACGCUUUAGGAUGAGCCUAUGGCCGAUUAGCUUGUUGGUGAGGUAACGGCUCACCAAGGCCACGAUCGGUAGCUGGUUUGAGAGGAUGAUCAGCCACACUGGGACUGAGACACGGCCCAGACUCCUACGGGAGGCAGCAGUGGGGAAUAUUGGACAAUGGGCGAAAGCCUGAUCCAGCAAUUCCGCGUGUGUGAAGAAGGCCUUAGGGUUGUAAAGCACUUUAAUCAGGGAAGAAAAAGCUUUGGCUAAUAUCCAAAGCCUUGACGGUACCUGAAGAAUAAGCACCGGCAAACUCUGUGCCAGCAGCCGCGGUAAUACAGAGGGUGCGAGCGUUAAUCGGAUUUACUGGGCGUAAAGCGUGCGUAGGAGGCUUGUUAAGUCGGUUGUGAAAUCCCCGGGCUCAACCUGGGAACUGCAGUCGAUACUGGCAAGCUAGAGUUCGGUAGAGGGUGGUGGAAUUUCCGGUGUAGCGGUGAAAUGCGUAGAGAUCGGAAGGAACACCAAUGGCGAAGGCAACCACCUGGGCCUGAACUGACU
rnacentral:rRNA from 1 species